CAGUAGCCGCGGUAAUACAGAGGGUGCAAGCGUUAAUCGGAUUUACUGGGCGUAAAGCGUGCGUAGGCGGCUUCUUAAGUCGGAUGUGAAAUCCCUGAGCUUAACUUAGGAAUUGCAUUCGAUACUGGGAAGCUAGAGUAUGGGAGAGGAUGGUAGAAUUCCAGGUGUAGCGGUGAAAUGCGUAGAGAUCUGGAGGAAUACCGAUGGCGAAGGCAGCCAUCUGGCCUAAUACUGACGCUGAGGUACGAAAGCAUGGGGAGCAAACAGGAUUAGAUACCCCAGUAGUCCCUGUCUCUUAUAC
rnacentral:rRNA from 1 species